CCCUUAGACGUUCUGGGCCGCACGCGCGCUACACUGACGAAGGCAACGAGCUUUCCUUUACCGAAAGGUACGGGUAAUCUUUUGAAACUUCGUCGUGCUGGGGAUAGAUCCUUGCAAUUUUUGAUCUUAAACGAGGAAUGCCUAGUAAGCGCAAGUCAUCAACUUGCGUUGAUUGCGUCCCUGCCCUUUGUACACACCGCCCGUCGCUACUACCGAUUGAAUGGUUUAGUGAGGCCUUCGGAUCCGCGACUCGUUUGUGGAGAAGUUGGACAAACUCAGUCAUUUAGAGGAAGUAAAAGUCGUAACA
rnacentral:rRNA from 1 species